rnacentral:rRNA from 1 species
GACGAACGCUGGCGGCGUGCUUAACACAUGCAAGUCGAGCGGGUAAGGCCCUUUCGGGGGUACGACGAGCGGCGAACGGGUGAGUAACACGUGGGUGACCUGCCCUCAGCUCUGGGAUAAGCCUGGGAAACGUGGGUCUAAUACUGGAUAUGACUCCACGGUGCAUGUCGUGGGGUGGAAAGCCUUGUGCGGCUGAGGAUGGGCCCGCGGCCUAUCAGCUUGUUGGUGGGGGAUGGCCUACCAA